rnacentral:rRNA from 1 species
UACGAAGGGGGCUAGCGUUGCUCGGAAUCACUGGGCGUAAAGCGCACGUAGGCGGAUUGUUAAGUCAGGGGUGAAAUCCUGGAGCUCAACUCCAGAACUGCCUUGAUACUGGCGAUCUCGAGUCCGGGAGAGGUGAGUGGAACUGCGAGUGUAGAGGUGAAAUUCGUAGAUAUUCGCAAGAACACCAGUGGCGAAGGCGGACUCACUGGCCCGGUACUGACGCUGACGGUGCGAAGGCGUGGGG